UUUUUUGUGUGUUUUUUUCUCAGGUUGGAGUGGUUAAUCUGUUCCUUUACAUGAUAAUGUAUACUCAGAUGCAUCUUGUAAUGUGGUUGGAGUGUGUAAUCCGUCUUUUUUCAUGACAAAAUGGUUACUCUGAUGCAUUUUCAAUUGCAAGUUUCCAAAUACAUGCAAAGUAAAGCAAGUAAAGAAAACAAUACUUUU
rnacentral:lncRNA from 1 species